rnacentral:rRNA from 1 species
GCNAAGUUGGUCNACGUUUGUUGGUGCGUCAACUUCUUAGAGGGACUAUUGACUAUUAGUCAAUGGAAGUUUGAGGCAAUAACAGGUCUGUGAUGCCCUUAGAUGUUCUGGGCCGCACGCGCGCUACACUGAUCAAGUCAACGAGUUUACAACCUUGGCCGGAAGGUCUGGGUAAUCUUUUGAAACUUGAUCGUGCUGGGGAUAGUCCAUUGCAAUUAUUGGACUUCAACGAGGAAUUCCUAGUAAGCGUGAGUCAUCAGCUCGCGUUGAUUACGUCCCUGCCCUUUGUACACACCGCCCGUCGCUACUACCGAUUGAAUGGCUCGGCCCGUG